UAAAGAAUUUCGGUAUGGGAUGGGGAUGCGUUCCAUUAGUUAGUUGGCGGGGUAACGGCCCACCAAGACAACGAUGGAUAGGGGUUCUGAGAGGAAGGUCCCCCACAUUGGAACUGAGACACGGUCCAAACUCCUACGGGAGGCAGCAGUGAGGAAUAUUGGUCAAUGGACGAGAGUCUGAACCAGCCAAGUAGCGUGAAGGAUGACUGCCCUAUGGGUUGUAAACUUCUUUUAUAUGGGAAUAAAACGUUCCACGUGUGGGAUUUUGUAUGUACCAUAUGAAUAAGGAUCGGCUAACUCCGUGCCAGCAGCCGCGGUAAUACGGAGGAUCCGAGCGUUAUCCGGAUUUAUUGGGUUUAAAGGGAGCGUAGGUGGAUUGUUAAGUCAGUUGUGAAAGUUUGCGGCUCAACCGUAAAAUUGCAGUUGAAACUGGCAGUCUUGAGUACAGUAGAGGUGGGCGGAAUUCGUGGUGUAGCGGUGAAAUGCUUAGAUAUCACGAAGAACUCCGAUUGCGAAGGCAGCUCACUGGACUGCAACUGACACUGAGGCUCGAAAGUGUGGGUAUCAAACAGGAUUAGAUACCCUGGUAGUCCACACAGUAAACGAUGAAUACUCGCUGUUUGCGAUAUACAGCAAGCGGC
rnacentral:rRNA from 1 species